CCAGAUCAACUGCAUGGGGUCCUACAGGAGAAGACCAAGAGACAGAGACAGAGACCAGGGAAAAUGACCGAUACCAUUCCUUCUCAGGGAUGCUACACACCCAUGGGGCAGAGGAUAAGAGGUUCCUGAAGGCAUCACCCCUCUGGCCAUGGCUGGUGUGCAGACAAAGCUGGAGAUUUGGAGUAGCCUGUUGUCCCACUGACUCUUAGACUGCCCCAGCUAAGAAGAACCAACUCCUCCUAUUACAGAUGAAAUAAACAAAGCUACUCAAGCUCUCUGGCAUCGCCCUGACGGUCAUCAUGUGCUUCACAUUUCCCUCCUGCCCCCCCUGAUUUUCUGGAAAAGGGAGAAAGUGUGUGAAAAAAAAUGGACAAUAACUUCUGUUAACUUUGUAGAUGUCUGGUUCCUCCAUAUGAGGCUGUGCUUGAAUCAAUUUUGGAGAGAGGGUUUCUAAAGUCUCUCUAGAUUCUAUUAAUUUUGAUAGAGACAAUAAAAGGCAGCAGGACCAACUCUGUGUGGUGGGAGAUCUAGCAACCAUUAUAGUCACAAUAGCCACCACUUACUGAACACCCACCAUGUGACAAAGAACAAAUGUGCAUGAAUUAUGUCACAUUUUUCACAAGCACCCCUUGAGUUGGGAGUUCACUCAUGAGGCAACUGAGGUUCAGGGAGAUGAAGUAACUCACCCUGUAGGUAGGAGGGCUGAGAUCUGGACGUAGAUCUUUCCUCCAAAGCUUUGUCUUUUUUUUUCUACUAUAGCACACCAAAGAGAGUUCUAGAAAAAAUGAGAAUAAGAAAUUUACCUGUAAUCCUUGCUCAAGAAACUGAAGCUCUGAGGCCACAUUGUUCCAGCCUUUUGCAGCUCCUGCAUGUGGAUACCAGCACCAGCAGCUCCCCGACCAGGGGCCCCAGCUAAGCCCUCCCAGAGGAUGAUCUUGGCUUUGUACAUGGGGUGUCAAUAUCCUGUGAGUCCAACAGAGGGAAGACAUAAGAAUAUGGUCACCCAGGGCUCUGCUCAAGUCCCUGCACCAAUGCAACCUGCCAAGGGAAAGCGCUCACCAUGG
rnacentral:lncRNA from 10 species